GCUCUCGCUCCCUCUCUUCUCUCAGACUCUUUAAGAACAUUGGCUGGAAAAUCAUUUUCUUAGAGCGGUUCCAGUUUCUUCAUCCAUCGCGUCCAGUGCUUGGGAGAGAUUAGAUCUUCUUCUGGACAACCACCUGUGAGGGACUAAGAAAGGAACUGAGACUGUGCUCCUGGGGUUUUGGGCAGCAGGAAAGUCUGGAUUUCGAUGGACAUGUAAUUAGAGGUGAAUGGAGUCUUCAGAGGUACGGCAGCCACGAAAGCCAGCGGCAAAGUCAAAGUGUUUGUCUAAUUUCACA